AUACGGAGGAUCCGAGCGUUAUCCGGAUUUAUUGGGUUUAAAGGGAGCGUAGGUGGGAUAUUAAGUCAGCUGUGAAAGUUUGGGGCUCAACCUUAAAAUUGCAGUUGAUACUGGUUUCCUUGAGUACGGUACAGGUGGGCGGAAUUCGUGGUGUAGCGGUGUAAUGCUUAGAUAUCACGAAGAACUCCGAUCGCGAAGGCAGCUCACCGGGCCGGAACUGACACUGAUGCUCGAAAGUGCGGGUAUCAAACAGGAUUAGAUACCCUGGUAGUCCGCACAGUAAACGAUGAAUACUCGCUGUUUGCGAUACACGGUAAGCGGCCAAGCGAAAGCGUUAAGUAUUCCACCUGGGGAGUACGCCGGCAACGGUGAAACUCAAAGGAAUUGGCGGGG
rnacentral:rRNA from 1 species